GUUUGGGGGAAAGCGAUCUCCUCCCGAGGCGACAUGCCGAAGAGUCGCGUCCCGUUUCUCCUGAUGCGGAGAGGACGCGUCGUG
rnacentral:ncRNA from 1 species